rnacentral:rRNA from 1 species
GAUGAACGCUGGCGGCGUGCCUAAUACAUGCAAGUCGAGCGAACAGACGAGGAGCUUGCUCCUCUGACGUUAGCGGCGGACGGGUGAGUAACACGUGGAUAACCUACCUAUAAGACUGGGAUAACUUCGGGAAACCGGAGCUAAUACCGGAUAAUAUAUUGAACCGCAUGGUUCAAUAGUGAAAGACGGUUUUGCUGUCACUUCUAGAUGGAUCCGCGCCGCAUUAGCUAGUUGGUAAGGUAACGGCUUACCAAGGCAACGAUGCGUAGCCGACCUGAGAGGGUGAUCGGCCACACUGGAACUGAGACACGGUCCAGACUCCUACGGGAGGCAGCAGUAGGGAAUCUUCCGCAAUGGGCGAAAGCCUGACGGAGCAACGCCGCGUGAGUGAUGAAGGUCUUCGGAUCGUAAAACACUGUUAUUAGGGAAGAACAAAUGUGUAAGUAACUAUGCACGUCUUGACGGUACCUAAUCAGAAAGCCACGGCUAACUACGUG